UAACAGAAGUACACAAACAUGCCAAGAGGGACUUUUGUGCCUGUGGAUCCUUAAUGAACAGACUGAGAAUGAAUGUGUAGCCUUGUACCCCUGAGUAAAAUAAGACCUCUCAGGAAUGCUGGCAUGAGACAAGGAGAAAUGCCGGAACACUAAUUCUCUGGUGCAAAGCUUCUCAUCCCAACACUUCUGCUAAGAUGUGGCUGGGCACUGGACCCUGGAGCCUGGAGAUGCAAAUGUCAGUGAAAGAUAUCUGGGCAGUGGGUCCUGGCCGAGAAGGUGACAUUCAGAAUGCCCUUUCCAUCACAUGCCAUAGCAUCCAAACAGCUCCAGUUACAGAGCAGGUGAUUGGAGUGGACAGGCUCUGAUGACAACGGAAGAGGAAGGAAAAGGCAAAAGAAGUUGGAGAAUGGAAUGAAAGGAGAAGAAAUGAGGAUAGCAAUAUAAACUAAAAUUACCAGACACUU